GUUUCCUCUAGUGUUAGCAUGAAAUUAUUUGGGGCAAUUUAUGGUAUAAGUAUAUUUCAUGUCAUUUAGUUGGAUUUGGUUAGAUAGAUGGGUUAUUCGUUAGAAAUGGACGGUGAUGAUGUUUGCGUCGAUCAACGUCCGGCGGGACUGCAUUCCAUUGGGUACCAAAUUCAAAAGCCUCACAUCAAUUUUCCGGUAUAUAGGACGCACAGGACUAGUGAUUCGCGAGCAACACCUAUAAAAGCCACGCGCUGUGAAACGACGCCCGAGUGCCCAACUCCGCUUUCUCCACCGACCUCUCUCCGACUUCCCGCUCUUCCUCUGAGGUUUCCUUAAACCUCUCCUGCGAUCACCAGUGGCGCUCGAGACCGCCGAGUACAGCCUCAGCUGCGAGCGCCGAGCCCACGAAGACGACUGCAAUACAAUGGUGGUGGUAAGGUCAUGCUAUUGAGUUUUGGAGGCUCAUGGGGUUGCUGUUCAAGCAGUUAUGACGCUUACCCAGUGAAAUUCACUACUGGUUUCUAGUGCUGCUGAAGUUUGUAGAUUUGUAUGUGAUGUCUUUGCAAAUUGGCAAAUUUCUCAACCCAACGAACUUAGAAGAUAUGGCAUUGGAACAUUGUUUCUUUACGUGCAUCUCAUUCUUUUAUGGUAAAGAAAGCUUAGUAAACUUACAUAAUGGAUCAAAUGGACAUCAUAUCUUGCCUAAUAAUUCUUGCAACUCUCUAAUUGAAAGCUGAAAUUGCUUUUAAUAUUAGGCAUCAGAUGAUGCAACCUUACAAUUUUAGGCAGCUCAGUUUUGUGGUUAAUGAUUUGAUGUGCUUGAAUGACAUGGUGCUAUAAAUGUUCUUGAUGAUGAUUCAACUUCGAAUUUUUUGGUUUAAGUUGGGAGAAUUACCAUGACAAAGAGCCACUUAAGCAAAAUUACUUGAUGAAACUAUUGUGUGAGCAAUUUGUGAGGCAUGUAUGCCAUAGAUUUCUUAAAACUCCUUCAUUCAAAUCAUCAUUGUGAUUCAUAAUUUUCAGGUGAAGUUUAAUGAUGAGGUUUGAAAACUUCAUAGUUCAUAACAUUUCUAUAAUGGAGAAUUAUAGUUAAAAAAUGGAGAUUACUACCAUGAACAACAAUUAUAUUUGUGGAAUGAAAGCUUUUACUAAAUGUUUAGAUCAAUAAGGAUACAAAAAAGCUCUGGACGAUCCCAAUUGAAGUUCCAAAUGAUUGUUUGGGAGCAGUUACUGCAAGGACUUUCUACACUUGCAUGGAGAGAACCAUUUUGUCAGUGGUGAGUUACUUUAAAAAACCAAACAAAAUAAACUUGAGAGCCUUGUGAAAUUGCUUGGUAGUUGGAAGAAAGAUGAGGGGGGGAGGGAGUGGUGGCGAGCAUGGAUUGGUCCAUGUAAUGAAAGAUGAGGCUGACCAUCUGACCCCUCAAAUCAUUAAAAGUUGCCCUCUAAUUUUCAUUUGAGUUCCAAGCUUUACCAUUGGAUGAAAAAUUGGUAGAAGCAAUCUAAUUUUUGCUUAUUUCCAGUGAUAGUGGCACUUGACAAAGGAGGUAAAAACAAAGCUAUAGAGAUGCCCUUAGUGCGCGAAGUCUUGGAUUGGAGAGAUUGAGUAUCUUAGUUAAUUUUAGGUUAUUUUCCGAAUCAGGAUUAGGUCUUGCAGCAUUGUAGAUUUUCAUAAUUCUGUUUAUACAUAUCUAGAAGAAUUAUGCUAGUGUAUUUAAUAGUAUGGUGUUAAAACGUCUGCGCCACUUUUAUCUCUAUAAAGUAGAAGAAUGCAGGUACCUUCACUUAUUGGUAAUCUGUGCUGUUAAAUUGUAUCCAACAGCUUUCUACUAAUGACAUUGGUGGUAUACAACCUUUCUUGUGGAGGUUAAGCUUUUGCAAACUUUUGCAACACACAAUAAGCUGCAGUGAGUGUAAAAGUGAAAUUGUAAAAAAAAGUUAAAACAAGUUAAGCCCACCUACACAUUUAGAAAAUGCCUCAAUUUAAUUAUAAAGCUCCCAAAGAACUUAAUUAUGGCUUGAAUCAACAUAUUGAGCACUUAACAUAGUCUGCAUGUAUGUCUAUGUAUAAGUAGUUGUAGUUGUGUAUAUAUAUAUUCUUGUUAAGAAGGUGCAUAAUAUGACCGAUUUGUAUAUGCUAUCUAGGUUCGAAUGACACAACUCUUAAGCUAUGGAGAGGAAGGACCUGUUUACACACUUUUAUGGGGCACACAAGUUGGUCAUAUCUGUUUACACACUUUUAUGGGGCACACAAGUUGGUCAUAUCUGUAUACGAAUGAUUUUACAAAUUCUAGCUAUAAAUGGAAAGCUGUAACAGAAUCAUUUGUUCGUCCAAAGUUGAGGAGUUGUUGAUAGUCGCAAGGUGCCAGAUUCUAGUGAUGCUUUAACACCCAGAAAAUGUUCAUAUAUUCAGUGAUGAUUUGUUCUAACUGUAAAAAUUGGAAAAGGGUCUCCUGAUCACAAAAAAUGUAGAAGUUUUUCCAAAGGUCCAAAAUUGGAAUCCUAGGCUCUGAAACCAUGGAAUUUAUGUCCAAGUGUUACAGACAGUGCACUAUUUACAAACAUACUUCAGAGUGUAGGGAUGCAUGCUUGCAGUCCUUGUAUUGGUUGCAGAAUGCAUUUUUUAUGAUUGAAGAAUGAAAGUUUAAAGUUGUAAAGCACAUCGAAUAUGCAUCUCUUAUGUACCAUAAAAUAGACGUCAACAUUGGAGUUUUACAAAAUUUAUCUUGGAAAAUAGAAGAUGCUCUUAGCCAUGCCUAUGCAUCACUAAGACUUUUAUAGCAAGAAUCCUUUAAUCUAUUUAAUAUUGCUAAACCGACACCGAAGCGCCUAAGACCUACGUGCCGCCGCAUGGGUUGUAGGUCCUAAUCGCACAGGUCGUAGGUCCCUGCUGCAUGGGUCGUGGGUCCUAACCGCACAGGUGGUGGGUCCUUGCUGCAUGGGUCGCAGAACCCAACAUGAGUUUUAUCUUGUUAGAAAAGUUUGAUGUUAGUUAAUUGUAGGAAGUUUUGAUUUUUGUAUACUUUCUUUACGAGAAUUUUUGAUGUUAUUAGGAAAGUUGGUAGUUAGAAUUUUUCAAGUUAAAAUAGGGCUUGAAAUUCUAUAUUGGAAGGUUGAAAAAAAGAAUUCCCUUAUACUACUUAUAAAUACCCCUAGUGGGGCUCCUCUUGUAAUCAUACUAGAGAUACUUGAGUUAUUGAUUAGUGUGAAUUCUCAUAUGGAAAUUGUUCUUUGCUUCUUCCUAUUCUCUCAUUUU